AUGUGUCAAGACAAAGGCUUGGCUUUCCCUGGGGUUUCUCACGUGGCAGAGGGAAAUGCCUGGCAGUUUUACAUGGACUUAGUUAUUCAGCAGUGGAAGCUGUGAUCAUGAGCUGGCUUCAUCUGGUUUCAAUCACUCAUUUCUCUCUCUCACUCUCUCUGUUGACUGUUCCUAUGUUCAUGGAAUAUUUUUCCAACUGUGUUCCUUUGGCAUUACCUUUCCAGCCCGCAGCAUCAGGAUUGCAGAAAUAAAAGACAGGCCUUCAUCACAGUAGCUGUUGGAAUCAAAGCAGAAGAGGAAGAUGAUGUUGGUGUCUUCUGGAACAUCCAAAAUGAAACCCAUGCUUAUUUCAAGAAAAUGAAAUGAGAACUUGAAUAUGGCACAAUGCCUAUGUUAUAUAGGUACCAAGCAGAAGUUGGAGAGGAAAAGGAAAGUACUUUCUGAAAAAGCAGCAAUGCUGGAAUGUGCUGUGGAGGCUCAGAUUGUUUUUCAGCUCUAGAGGCAUGUAUGAUUUCUAAUGGGAAAGAAUGAAUUUAGGAGGGACUCAGUAAAAUGAUGGUCAAAGUUUUCAGGAGCGAUUACGAAAGCUGCAUGAUAGAUCUAGCUGCAACUGAGAGUCUAGAAUGUGGAUACACAUUGAAGGAUGCUGAAGAAGGACCUUUCAGACUUUUCUGUCACUGAUAUGUUUGCUGCGGACAUACUUCUGCUGGUUUUGUUCUCAGAAGCAGAGAAGCAGAUAAUUAAGUGGAGCAUCAUUCAUGAAUCAAGUGAAGCUUCUGCACUCAACAAAGAGAAGCUAAAAGGAUGAAAUGCCAUUAUGAUCCCACUUGACUUGCAGUGUCAGGUGGUGCUGUCACUCGCCAGACUGGACUGUUUGGGGCUGUGCCUCAUGAGUGCCAAAAGUAGCAAAAUUAUUUCAAGUGACUGUUGGGAGAAAUAAAAAUUAGUUUCUCAAUAAAAUUACUAUAGCUGUAAAUUAAAGGCCUCUAGAACA